rnacentral:lncRNA from 1 species
ACGGGGUACACCUAGCCGUGCGUUGCUUGUAAACAGUCGGCGAAGGUGUGGUGGAAAGGCAUUCGACGGAAUCGAUUGCCUAGUCUUUCUCCUAUGAUUCGGGAUGAGUUUCGGAGAUCAAUAUUCCCUGUUUACUUCCCCGAUGCUGAGAAAGAAAAGCUUCAGGAAAGGUUCCCGAAGCUAUGGCAGGUAGACCGUGCCGUGAGGGAAUACGAGCGGGAAUUCUCUCGUAUCAUGAGUUGUGUCCCGAACGUAGUGCGGGAUGAUGAGGAAUUGGCCGAUGUGCCUCUGCGGAGACCUUGGCCGGACGUGGUCGAGGUUGUGCAUGUAAGGAAGUGAAUUCUCGAAAUACGAGGAUUGGACUUUGUGUAGAACCGACCAGGGGUCGUGUUGGUAUGCUUCGGUGAGGCCGAAGAGGUCAAAAAUAUAAGAAGUGCAUUGUUGGCGGCCUUCGAGAGCAAGCUAGGAGGAAAACUGCAAAGUGCAGUUUUAGCUCUCGGGGACCGGUCCCUUGGGGAGAGACCGUUCCCCGUACGCGUGAAAGGGCAGAAAGGGGCUAAUUUUGAGAAAUCUUGCUCUCGGGGACCGGUCCCUUUAGCUGAUGGUUGCAGGGUUGCUUGAUGCAACCGGUCCCUGGGCCAGAGGGACCGGUCCCCUGUGCGCGAAAUCGACGAGAAGAGCAAAAUUGGCUAAGUCCCGAAAAUACAGCUCUCGGGAACCGGUCUAUCGUGCAGGAACCGAUCUCCCGAGGACCGGUCUCUUGGGCAGGGACCGGUCCCCGUAGCUCGAAAUUGCCCAGUUUGGGCAGUGCACAUUCUUGAGUGCAAUUGCAAUCCCGAACCUCGGAGGUGUCUUCUAUUAACUUCCUUGGGAUGCGGGAUGUAGAAGUCUCACUAGGCGCAGCAGUGUGUGCUGCGUGAUGAGAUGGGCAUUCGUGUGGGCGAUUGCCGGGUCAUGACGUGGGUGACGGCCUCUUCCUCUCCGAG